AACCGCAUAGAGCCAAACGGGUGGAUCCGCAGAGUCGACCCGGGGAAUUCAGCCCGGCCGCCAGCGGCGCUCGCAAAGUUCGGAUCCGCAAGGACCGGGCCAGCGGGACGUCCGCGUGGCAGGGUGCACUUUCUCCGCGGUCGAGUGCUACGACCGGUUUCGAGGCGGUCAGAAGCCCGGCGGAAAGGUAGCGCCGCCCUUCGGGGUGUCGUGUUAUAGGCCGCCGCGGUGGACUCGCCGCGAGACCGAGGACGCUUGCCGCGCCGAGCGGUCCCGGGCCGUCUUGGGAGGUUCGACCUCGGCUGCACUGCUCCGCAGAGCACCGUAACCGCCGCCCUAGCACGGGUCCGGAGACUGCCGGCGCCUCGGGUCAGUAGCGAAU
rnacentral:rRNA from 2 species